CAAGAAAGGGAUUCUCCCCUAGAGCUUCUGGAGGGAGCGUGGACCUGCCGACACUUUGAUGUCAACCCGGUGACCCCGAUCUUGCACUUCCAUCUGCCAGAUGUGUGAGAGAAGAGAUUUCUGUUUUAAAACAUUACUUUUGUGGUAAUUUUUAAACAGCAGCAUAUGAAACCACACUCCCUUGCAGCUUAAAUCCUAUGUGUGACUCAGUUUCCAUCAAACAGAUGAACCCGACGUUAAGUGACAGUGUCAAUGGAGCAAUCAGAUCUGAAAAACACGACAGAAGUGCUGCCGACUCUGCAGGCCUUCAGACUUGGGCUGAAACUUCACCAUCAAGAUUACCAAGUGCAGACCUUGGAACUUAGCCUCCAUAAUUGCAUGAGCAAUCCCUUAUUUUAUAUAGAUUUAAAAAAUACGUAUAUAUAUAUAUAUAUAUAUAUAUAUAUAUAUUCAUUCAUCCUUUAUUGGUUCUGUUUAUU
rnacentral:lncRNA from 1 species